CAGUCGCCACGGGAAUACGAAGGGUGCAAGCGUUAAUCGGAAUUACUGGGCGUAAAGCGUGCGUAGGCGGUGAGUUAAGUCUGCUGUGAAAUCCCCGGGCUCAACCUGGGAAUGGCAGUGGAUACUGGCUCGCUAGAGUGUGUCAGAGGAUGGUGGAAUCCCCGGUGUAGCAGUGAAAUGCGUAGAGAUCGGAAGGAACAUCUGUGGCGAAGGCGACUAUCUGGGCCAACACUGACACUGAGACACGAAAGCGUGGGGAGCAAACAGGAUUAGAUACCCCAGUAGUCCCUGUCUCUUAUAC
rnacentral:rRNA from 1 species